AUUGAACGCUGGCGGCAUGCCUUACACAUGCAAGUCGAACGGCAGCACGGGAGCAAUCCUGGUGGCGAGUGGCGAACGGGUGAGUAAUACAUCGGAACGUGCCCAGUAGUGGGGGAUAGCCCGGCGAAAGCCGGAUUAAUACCGCAUGAGACUUGAGGGUGAAAGCGGGGGAUCGCAAGACCUCGCGCUAUUGGAGCGGCCGAUGUCAGAUUAGCUAGUUGGUGGGGUAAAGGCCUACCAAGGCAACGAUCUGUAGUUGGUCUGAGAGGACGACCAGCCACACUGGGACUGGGACACGGCCCAGACUCCUACGGGAGGCAGCAGUGGGGAAUUUUGGACAAUGGGCGCAAGCCUGAUCCAGCAAUGCCGCGUGCAGGAAGAAGGCCUUCGGGUUGUAAACUGCUUUUGUCAGGGAAGAAAUCCUCUGGGUUAAUACCUCGGGGGGAUGACGGUACCUGAAGAAUAAGCACCGGCUAACUACGUGCCAGCCGCCGCGGUAA
rnacentral:rRNA from 1 species